UUCUAUCCAGAGCCGAGAGCUGCGUGCUGUAGCUCCUCGUCAUCGUCGCCGCCGCCGCCUUCUUCGUCCGCCGCAAUCGCGUAACCUGCUACGCCCCCCUCCCCGGCCCUUCUCAUCCCCUGGAUACGGCAAAGCACUACGACGACAUCCCUCAGUCCUCCUCCACCGUCUCCUGGUCGUCCUCUGCCAUUGCCGCCGCCUCAGAUCGGCCGCGUCAAGACAUACAUCUGGAUGAGCAAUUGGUGUCUAUGUAGUUGAUGUAGACCAAUCAGGUCGAUGAGCAAACUGUGACCACACAGGUUGUUGAGGAUUGUGCUUCAGUUCAAUGAAUCGUAGUGGCAUUCUGGGAGCGUGAGGGGAGAUAGUAUAUGAUUAAAAGUUACUCCAUUUUCAGAGCAGAAGAGGUUACAAUACACUGGUCAAAUAAGAUGCAAGUUUCAGAUUGUUGAUACUGAUGUGCUAUCAAUUGCUAGCUUCCACCAUGACCACUCAGGAAGCAAAUUGUUUUCCUGGAACUUCAGUGGCAGAAGCACUCUGCUCAUGCAACGAUUGAAGAUCAACAGAAGGCAGUGUUGCUGAGCUGCAGACCUGCUUUAGGAUUCUUCAGAGCUGUAAUUUGUAGUGAUCAAAUUACAUAGGAUCUGGUCGGUGUAUGAUGUGUGUAGCAAUGAUUUGAAAUAGACAUAUGGAUGCUUGUUGUAACAGAAA